CACUGACAGUAAAUAUAUAUUCAGACAAGGAGGAGGUAUGAAACUACGUCCAAGUGAUAUACGUUUUUCACAGAAUUCUAUAAGGGAUGUUUUUGACAUGAAAUCAAAGCAUGCCAAUAUAAAACUUACCGAAACAUUGAAUUCUCUAUCCGAUGGGACAUGCAGUGUCUCUGAUAUACCGACUAUUACUGUAUUCAAAAAGGAUGACCUAUGGUACACACUUGAUAACAGGAGACUGUGGGUUUUCCAGGAGCUUGAAAAGAAGGGUAAAUGUACCGAAAUCCCCGUCAAGGAAGGUUGUCACAUUCCUGACAGAAAAUUCACUACAGAAAAUCAAGGAAAAACAGUCCAUGUACGAACGGGUGUCUGCUUAAGGAGAUCUAGGAGGUUCAAGCGCUAUUAGUUAUGGAAUAAUCAUAUUAAACCUAAAACGAGCCAGUGAAGGAUAUAAAACACAGUUAUGAAUCUACGUAGAUAGUUAUCCAGUCCAGUCGAGGAUUGUGGUGAUAUAGUACAGAUAGUUCUGAGCAUGGAAGAGCUAGCCUUAAUAGAGGACGAUGAAUUCUUAAAGAGAAUUACGGCUGACCGACCCUGGAUACUCUUGUUGGACAAAAGGAUGAAACAGUGACUAUGAAAUGGCGUUAUAAGCUCACAGCCCUACAGAAAAUAAUUGAUAAUGCAAUGAUAGAAAUGUAUUAACCUAACUAGAAUUCCUACCUGUCUUUAGACUAGAUUAUAUGUAUGAUGUAAAGCGUAUCUUAUUAAGCGUUGUUAGGGACUUAUGUAUUUCGUUUUAUCAGCUUACAAUUCUUCUUGUAAAAAUACUUUCAAUUUAUUUUAAUGCCUUUUUAUACUCAAUUUAUUUUAAUGCCUUUUUAUACCUCUAUUUUUUCUGUUUGAAAUAAAGUCUAUAGUUAAAUAGUA